UAGCCGAUACUUGUAAAACUUUUUUAGAACAUAUUUUGUAAUAUUGACUUAUAAAUUAAUAAAGUUGAGUUUAUUUUCAUUCAGAUCUGUGUUAUUAAAUGUCUCUGAAUCGUCCAUUAAGUUAAUAGGUGUAAUGACACAUAUUCUCAAGAGUUGAGAAUUUGAGAUAUGUGUCAUUAUAAUUAAUUCAUGAAUUACUUUCGAUCGUAAGAUCAUCUCGGAGAUGGUGUUUGAUAUGGA
rnacentral:lncRNA from 1 species